rnacentral:rRNA from 1 species
AACGAACGCUUUCUUCCUGCCUAACACCUGCAAGUCGAACGAGACCUUCGGGUCUAGUGGCGCACGGGUGCGUAACGCGUGGGAACCUGCCCUUAGGUUCGGAAUAACUCCCCGAAAGGGGUGCUAAUACCGGAUAAUGUCUUCGGACCAAAGAUUUAUCGCCUUUGGAUGGGCCCGCGUUGGAUUAGCUAGUUGGUAGGGUAAAAGCCUACCAAGGCGACGAUCCAUAGCUGGUCUGAGAGGAUGAUCAGCCACACUGGGACUGAGACACGGCCCAGACUCCUACGGGAGGCAGCAGUGGGGAAUAUUGGACAAUGGGCGAAAGCCUGAGCCAGCAAUGCCGCGUGAGUGAUGAAGGCCUUAGGGUUGUAAAGCUCUUUUACCCGGGAUGAUAAUGACAGUACCGGGAGAAUAAGCGCCGGCUAACUCCGUG